GGCAAUGUUGCUUAGUGGAUAGAGCACAGGCCUAGGAGUCAGAAGGACCUGGGUUCUAAUCCCAGCUCUACCA
rnacentral:tRNA from 1 species